ensembl:lncRNA CASC9 cancer susceptibility 9
GGCUGGGAGCUGUAGACCGGAGCUGUUCCUAUUCGGCCAUCUUGGCUCCUCUCCCUCUUUAAAGUGAUGGUCUCUGAUAUCUUUCGCCUUUACCUUCAUUGUCAGCCAUUGAUUUGACAGAGAUUUCUUUAGUGUCUAGAGCUGAAAACAAGCAAACAAAAAACAAGCACAGAAGAAGAAGGAGAGAAUGUGAUUUUGAAGAAAGGAGGAAAGAUGUGAAAAGUGAUUGGUCAGCCACAUUCAUGGUGUUGAGAAAAGAAUUUGCUUUUCUGGAACAUAGCCUGUGAUAGCAGAACAACACCUGGCAAGAAACAGGUUAUGUUUGGCUGGAGAGUCAUUGGCACUAUCAAGAAAUAUUAAAGUGUAGAUUUGAGAGAGGAGGAGAAAGACCCAAGCAAAAUUGAAAACCAGGUGGGACCCAGACAGCAGCAAAGCAAUGGAAGCAUGUAUUUUGGUCAAUAUAGAGUUAAUACACAAUUUUGCCCCUCUUCUUCUGAUCAUGGGACUCAUAUUACCAGUCUUCACAUUUCCUUUAAAUUCAGGAAUCAGGAAGAAUUUCCAGAGUUUGCAGAUGGACACAUUUGCUGCUUCCAUUCUAAACAUAAGUUAGAAGAACCUUUCAACUGGAUUCCAACUUUAAUAUGUCACAAACAUAAAAAAGAAAGCUAUUUCCUGGACUUUUCUUCAUUAGAAAUUAAUAGAUUGUCAAUUGGCAUAGGGAAAAGAUAAUCAACAGAUGCCAACCCCAAGUUAACAGAAAUGCUAAAAUUAUAAGACAAAGACUUCAAAAUAGCUAUUUUAAUUUUGCCUAGUGAGGUAAAUGCAAACAUGCUCACUAUGAAUGAAAACAGGUAAUCUCAGCAGUCAUGUAAACUAUAAAAAUAAGCAAAUAUAAAUUUUAGAAUUAAAACACAAUAUCUAAAAAUAAAUUCACCUGAUAUUCUCAAUAGAAAAAAUGGUAAUGCAGAGAAAAAUGUAUGAAAAUAUGGCAAUUUGAAGAAGAGAGAAGAGAUCAAUAAAAUAAAUAAGUAUAUCCUUGGAGACCUGUGGAUGUUUUUUGAAAAGUGAAUCAUGUAAGUAAUUGAAGUCCCAGAAGAAAAGAAAAGAAGAGGAUGAGCAGAAAAAAAUUUCUGAAAAAAUAUCUGAAAGCUUAAACACUAUAAUGAAAGACACACAUUUACAAACUCAAGAAGUUUAGUAAACCAAAAACAAUAAAAUCAAAGAGAACUGUGCCAAGCGACAUCAUUUUCAACCUGCUGAAGAUCUUGACAGCAGUCAGAGAAAAAAGACACACUUAUUACACAGAGAGGAACAAUACAUUAAAUACUAGCACACUUCUCAUCAGAGAUCAUUAAGCCCAGAAGACAGUGGAAUGAGAUCUUUAAAGUGCUGAAAUAAAAUAAAUGUUGAUUAAAAAAUUCUA